GUCAAUUUCUCGAUAUUUCUGCAUCAAGCAUCCAGACCAUAGAAGAGCCUGAGGGCUCAUCCAAUUCUUGUGCCUUAGCCCUGUUACCAGCCAAUCCCUCUGUUCAUGCAGAUUCAAAAAUGCAAAAACAAGAAGCACCGUUUUAGUGGUUCUACCCCUGAGUUAAGAAGAACAUCUUGCUCUGACAGAUCAUGGGAAGAGACUGGCAGAAUCAGUUGCUACUGAACAGGUUUGACAAAGAAUUACUGGGCACGUACUUGGUUCUAUUGAACAAGAUGGAUCCUCAGAAGAAUAGUAAAAUCCGAAAGCUAACAAUCUGGGAGAUCAUACCAUUAAGAAAGAGGUAGCAAAGUCAGAGAGAAAAGAAAUCGGACAGGCCUUGAAAUAUGAUAGGAAUAGUUCAAAGACAAGACUAAUAGUCAAAGGGAAUGGAGGGGCUGUGGUGUUCUCAUUGUGUGAACCUAGUUUCAGCAACAAAUAAGGUUAGCCAGGACAAUUUUAUCGGGAUCUGAUAACCUUUCUCAAGAAUCCAUCGGAUAGGAGUUAUCCCAACCUAUCUCACCAUGUAGUCAACCUAUAUAUGCUCGAAUUGGUGAACUCCAUAUUCCAAAUUUUCUGGAGCCACUGCAGAUGGUCAAUGAUACUCUUCUAAAUCCCUGUAAGUCGAUCCCUACAUACAAAUGGAUCUUUAGUCUAAGAAAGAAGCAACAGAU